UUUUAUUAACAAAUAAAUAACAAAAUAAUGGGUAUAUAAAUAGUUUAAUUAGGCUUUUUUUCAAGAAAUAAAAUGCUAAUUAUUUGACAUUUUAGUUAGUUGGAGUUACUAUUUUAGUUAGAUGGAGUAUUUAUUUGAUAUUUUUACUAUUUCUUUGACAUUUUAGUUCAAUUAUGUUAAUACAUGAUAAAUUAUUUAUUUGUUUAUGGAAAUUUUAUGCUACUUUAAGUUCCUUGUGGAAUUAGUUCCAGACAAGUGUGCUAUUAUGUCUGAAUGGUGUCGUGUAAAGUGGCUUGAAGAAGACAAAGUUUACUCUGACACUGUUCCUUUAAGUUGGAUUAAUGGUAAAGUUUUGAGAUGGCCAAAAAAAGGAGCUGAAAAAAAGUUAAGGGACCAGGUUGAACCUCAAGAUGAUUGGUUUAAAUUUCAAGUUCUCAAAAUUAAAUUAACUGAUAAAGAUUUUAUGACUUGCCAUUCAUAUAAUAUUUUAACUGAUACUGACUCUUUUGAUUUUGAUUUUAAAAAAGAUAUGUCUCAAGUUGCAAAAAAAAUUUGCAGUACACUUCCUCCAAAGCCUGAAAUUAAAUUAGGUUUUAGAAAUAAAAAAGUAUUUACCCCAGAAUUAGAAAAAGAACACCUAAAUCUUUCACAAGAAGCUAGUCAGAAUAAAGUAAAUAUUGAUUUGAAUCAACCUACUCAGUCAGUAUUUAGUUUUCAAAGUUCAUCAAAAUCCCAUAAUUCAAGGAAAUUGCGCUCUCGAUCUUCCAGUAGUUCUUGUUCACUAUCUCCUCAGAGUAAAAGUAAAAGAAGACCAGAUUAUUGUUCUCUUUUACAAUCAGAGAAAAUUGAAACACAGAGUGAACUCUCUUGUGGAUUACCAAAAAGUAAAGAACAUUCUACUCUGGCUAUUAACAGAAAUAACUUUCCAAUGAGUGAUCAAAAAUUCCAGUAUGAAGUCAUCAAGUUACUGUGUGAACUUAAAACAUGUUUACAAUGUCAACCCAAAAGUACAUUGUCACAUAAUUUAAGUGCGGAAAUUCCAACUCAAUUCUUGACAGUAGAAGAUUUGAAUGAAUUUGAACUUAAAAUGCAUGAUAAUAGUUUUGCACAAGAAUUUGUUAAACAACUCUCACGUGUUGGUGGAAAAUCAUCUAAAUAUAUGAUUAAGGACCUAAUUCAAAGAAGCAGUAUUAAAUGUCUUUCCGGAUGCUACCAGCUCAGAAGUACGAAUAGAAGUGAUGAACCAUUUAAAAUAUGGUGCAGAUCGUAAAAACCGGAAAACAAUUCGGACAAGCGCUAGAAAUGAUGUCAUGUCUAUCAGUUUGAAUUUUGCAGAAGAAGCCAUAUUAUAGAUAAGAAAUACAAAGAUAUACAAUGACAUCAAAGUCUACAAUAUGGAGAAAGACUAAUUCUUUGAUUGCCAGUAUAUUAGAAAAUAAUAAUUAUCAAAGUUCAACUGGAUUUUGCUCAAAGAUUUUCUGUCAAUAAUUUUUCAAAAAAAGGAAUACUCAGUGUCAAACAAAGAAUACACGAAUUAAUUGAGAUAUGCUAGAAGUUUGCAAAAAAUGUAAAAAUCAAACUAGUUUCACUCUAAGUUAUUGUAUAUAAUUUUAAAAUUUUGAAAUAGAAGUAUUGUAAAGU
rnacentral:misc_RNA from 1 species